AGGCGCUUCUCAUGCUCAGACAGUUUCUGGUCAUGAGGUCAGCAGUCUACUCCACCCUGUGACCCCUGCUUUUGCCACUUUGCCCACCCAGUGGAAGCCUGAACAAUGGGUAUGCCAGAUUGAGGGAUGGAAGCUCCAAAACUAUGUCUCCAAAUUAACCCUUUUGUCACAUAAGUUAUUACGCCAAGUAGUUGGGUAUAGUAACUCAAAUGCUAGCACAACUGUGGACGUUAAGAAACCAUUAUACUAUCCUACCACAGCAGGCAAAACUGUCGAGAUGUCUUAUGACCUAGCUCCAAAACACAUGUUUGUGGAGAAGAGUGAAGGCUAUUCAGUCAGCACCUUGGCAUGAGGCAAUGAGUGAAUGCUUCGUUUCUUUCUCUAACUGGCUUCAGGCUGCCUCGUCUGUGUCCAUAUAGUCACCUGUGUGGCUUUCCAGUAGACAAUAGGCUUAAAGGCAGUUGGUGGAAAUCACCUGCAUGGAAAACUUCAAAGCCUCCUCGAAAAGGGCCUGUGAACAAACAAUCCUGGAGCCUGCAUAUAACUCUCAUAAGAACAGAGAAACAGCUGAUUGGCCCUUACCAGCCAAUGGGAAACACAUACCAUUGCCUUCUUUCCAUUGGGCAUCCCCCUCCCCCAGAACUCUUCUCCGUGGGCUCCUCCGAGCCAUCCCCAAAUUAUUUCCUACCUAGCUUGUUGUCUUCCAAGACCCCUUUCCUACUGAUAUAGAAGAGGGAAGAAAGGCUAUGAGAGGGCAGAAAACUCCAGCCUCCCGCAACAUAAUCAGCGGAGAGAGAACAACAGAAAGAUGGAGCGCAGCAUCCUAGUAGGUCCCUAUCCUCCUACCCCUUCCUACCUCACAAAGACCCAAGACCUUGCUGGGGAGAAUUUACCUUGAUGUCAAAGGUUAUCCCCCACCCACCCACUAUGACCUGUUCCUUGCACCAGUUCAUGCCAUCUUUUUGCGCUGACUCUGGACUUUUAAUCUAAUGAGAGAUGCACUUCUGGAAUGUUCGACUACACAUGAGAUUCCUCAAAUGUCAGGCUGGAGGGGUUUCUCUGUGUAGUCCUAGCUGUUCUGCAACUAGCUCUGUAUAGCAGACUGGCCUAAAACUCAGGGAUCCUCCUGUCUUCAUCUCCAUCUUGUUCUGAGAUUAAGAGUGUGCCACCACACGCAGCUGAGUGAAACUCCUUUUAAAAGGGUUUCUUAAAGAGAACUAAUCUCUCUGAAGUAUCAUCAAGUGGAGUUUUCCUGUGAGUUGCCCAGAUGGACUUGAAUGGUUGAAUCCUCAUUCAGAGUAUCUGGGAAGUGUGAGUUCAUGAGGAUGGAAUAGCCAGCAUUCACAAACCAAGAUGCUUCAAAGAGCCUUCAUAAGCAGUGUAUACCACUGCCUGAUACCAGAGGCAUCCAUACUACCAAGUACUCAGUGGACAACGUUUAAGGAAACUGAAUCUAAUACUGGACUCAGAGGCCCAUGAUGAAAUCAUGAAGCUGCAGUGCUCAGUAGCAAACAGUGAGAGACACCAUAACUUUGGUCAAAACCAUGUGAAUUUACUUUGAAAAGUCCCAUCCCUCCCUGCCCACAUAGAAGGAAUGUCUGCACCUUGUCUGCAUAACCUGUUUGUAUUCCAACAAUGAAAAACAUGUUUGAAAAAUGAAGCUGUCAAUUCUUUUGUUUACUUCUGAUCAAAUUUGGCAUUGUAACAACUUUAGUUUUCUAAUUAUAUUUUAUGUAUCUAUUUGUAUGAGUGUAUGCACAUGCUCAUAUGUAGUGGAAUUUUUCCCUAAUAAUUGAUUAAUUGGAUAAUAAAGAUGACAAGAAGUCAAUUACUGGGCGAGGAGGAGGUGGGCCUUCCAGGUCAAGGAAAGGAAGAGGAAAUGCAGGAGAAAGGAAUGCCCCUUUUUGGACUUCGAGGGGAGAGCAAAAGGAGGCACAAUGUACAUCAGAUACUGUUAGAUCUUGUGGCUGAAUCCACCAGAAUACACCACUGGAAGAUUUCUAACAUAGAAUAGUUGAUGAGUUUUGGACGAUAUAUCCCACACCCAGCAAUUGUGUUAUCUGUUGAUUCUAAACUAAGAUUGUCUGGUGUUCUCCAUUUCCCAGCAACCCAGGUGGGUCAGAGGGAAAGAACAUAGCUAAAGGAAUUUGGCCAGGCUUUGGAAUGGGAAGAUUGAGCAAGGCCUGAGCUCCAGGGGAAAGGUAUUGAGCAGAGCGUGGGCUGGCAAGAACACACCCACAGCUGCCUGUGGGGACCAAGAGAGCUAUCUCAGAGCUCCGGAGAGGCAGAGCCAGCAUUGGUGGGAGAGGCGUUGGCUGGGGGAAACUUGCAGUCUCAGUCUCGAGCUAUGUACCAGGCUAGGUUGUUUUUUUUUAAUAAUUUCGCAAACCAGGAAAGGGGAUAAUAUUUGAAAUGUAAAUACAUAAAAUAUCCAAUAAAAAUAAUAAUCUUGCACUACACUCAUAUAUGUUCCAUGCUGCUGUGUGGAGAUCAAAGAACAAUUUAUGGGAGUCCUUUACUGUGUAGGUCCUGGUAUCAAACCCAGGAUGGUGAGUUUGUGGGC